UGUACCAUAUGAAUAAGGAUCGGCUAACUCCGUGCCAGCAGCCGCGGUAAUACGGAGGAUCCGAGCGUUAUCCGGAUUUAUUGGGUUUAAAGGGAGCGUGGGCGGAUUGUUAAGUCAGUUGUGAAAGUUUGCGGCUCAACCGUAAAAUUGCAGUUGAUACUGGCAGUCUUGAGUGCAGUAGAGGUGGGCGGAAUUCGUGGUGUAGCGGUGAAAUGCUUAGAUAUCACGAAGAACUCCGAUUGCGAAGGCAGCUCACUGGAGUGUAACUGACGCUGAUGCUCGAAAGUGUGGGUAUCAAACAGGAUUAGAUACCCUGGUAGUCCACACAGUAAACGAUGAAUACUCGCUGUUUGCGAUAUACAGUAAGCGGCCAAGCGAAAGCAUUAAGUAUUCCACCUGGGGA
rnacentral:rRNA from 1 species